GAUGAACGCUAGCGGCAGGCUUAAUACAUGCAAGUCGAACGGUAACAUGAGUAGCAAUACUUGAUGACGAGUGGCGCACGGGUGCGUAACGCGUAUGCAACUUACCUUCAACUGGAAGAUAGCCCCUCGAAAGAGGGAUUAAUAUUCCAUAAUUUUAUGAUUUGGCAUCAAAUUAUAAUUAAAGAUCAGUCGGUUGAAGAUAGGCAUGCGUGACAUUAGCUAGUUGGUGAGGUAAUGGCUCACCAAGGCAACGAUGUCUAGGGGAUCUGAGAGGACUAACCCCCACACUGGUACUGAGACACGGACCAGACUCCUACGGGAGGCAGCAGUAAGGAAUAUUGGUCAAUGGAGGCAACUCUGAACCAGCCAUGCCGCGUGAAGGAUGAAGGCCCUAUGGGUUGUAAACUUCUUUUAUACGGGAAGAAACCUCCGCACGUGUGCGGAGCUGACGGUACUGUAAGAAUAAGGAUCGGCUAACUCCGUGCCAGCAGCCGCGGUAAUACGGAGGAUCCAAGCGUUAUCCGGAUUUAUUGGGUUUAAAGGGUGCGUAGGCGGAAUAGUAAGUCAGUGGUGAAAGCCUGUCGCUUAACGACGGAACUGCCAUUGAUACUGCUAAUCUUGAGUAUAAUUGAAGUGGGCGGAAUGUGUCGUGUAGCGGUGAAAUGCUUAGAUAUGACACAGAACACCAAUUGCGAAGGCAGCUCACUAAACUAUAACUGACGCUGAGGCACGAAAGCGUGGGGAUCAAACAGGAUUAGAUACCCUGGUAGUCCACGCUGUAAACUAUGAUUACUCGAUGUGUGCGGUAUACAGUACGCGUCUUAGCGAAAGUGAUAAGUAAUCCACCUGGGGAGUACGCUCGCAAGAGUGAAACUCAAAGGAAUUGACGGGGGCCCGCACAAGCGGAGGAGCAUGUGGUUUAAUUCGAUGAUACGCGAGGAACCUUACCUGGGCUUGAAAGUUAGCGACUGAGUGUGAAAGCAGGCUUUCCUUCGGGACACGAAACAAGGUGCUGCAUGGUUGUCGUCAGCUCGUGCCGUGAGGUGUUGGGUUAAGUCCCGCAACGAGCGCAACCCCUAUCGUUAGUUACCAUCAUUAAGUUGGGGACUCUAGCGAGACUGCCGGCGUAAGCCGCGAGGAAGGUGGGGAUGACGUCAAAUCAUCAUGGCCUUUAUGCCUAGGGCGACACACGUGCUACAAUGGCCGGCACAGAGGGUAGCGAUACAGUGAUGUGGAGCCAAUCCCAGAAAGCCGGUCCCAGUUCGGAUUGGAGUCUGCAACCCGACUCCAUGAAGGUGGAAUCGCUAGUAAUCGCGCAUCAGCCAUGGCGCGGUGAAUACGUUCCCGGACCUUGUACACACCGCCCGUCAAGCCAUGGAAGCUGGGGGUACCUAAAGAUGGUGACUUUACGGGGAGCUAUCUAAGGUAAAACCAGUAACUGGGGCUAA
rnacentral:rRNA from 1 species